UACGGAGGGUGCGAGCGUUGUCCGGAAUCACUGGGCGUAAAGGGCGCGUAGGUGGCUGCUUAAGCGUGUGGUGAAAGCUCAGGGCUCAACCCUGAGUCGGCCAUGCGAACUGGGCAGCUGGAGCACUGUAGAGGCAGGUGGAAUUCCGGGUGUAGCGGUGGAAUGCGUAGAGAUCCGGAAGAACACCGGUGGCGAAGGCGGCCUGCUGGGCAGUUGCUGACACUGAGGCGCGACAGCGUGGGGAGCAAACAGG
rnacentral:rRNA from 1 species